rnacentral:rRNA from 1 species
AAAUUGAAGAGUUUGAUCAUGGCUCAGAUUGAACGCUGGCGGCAGGCCUAACACAUGCAAGUCGAACGGUAACAGGAAGCAGCUUGCUGCUUCGCUGACGAGUGGCGGACGGGUGAGUAAUGUCUGGGAAACUGCCUGAUGGAGGGGGAUAACUACUGGAAACGGUAGCUAAUACCGCAUAAUGUCGCAAGACCAAAGAGGGGGACCUUCGGGCCUCUUGCCAUCGGAUGUGCCCAGAUGGGAUUAGCUUGUUGGUGGGGUAACGGCUCACCAAGGCGACGAUCCCUAGCUGGUCUGAGAGGAUGACCAGCCACACUGGAACUGAGACACGGUCCAGACUCCUACGGGAGGCAGCAGUGGGGAAUAUUGCACAAUGGGCGCAAGCCUGAUGCAGCCAUGCCGCGUGUAUGAAGAAGGCCUUCGGGUUGUAAAGUACUUUCAGCGGGGAGGAAGGGAGUAAAGUUAAUACCUUUGCUCAUUGACGUUACCCGCAGAAGAAGCACCGGCUAACUCCGUGCCAGCAGCCGCGGUAAUACGGAGGGUGCAAGCGUUAAUCGGAAUUACUGGGCGUAAAGCGCACGCAGGCGGUUUGUUAAGUCAGAUGUGAAAUCCCCGGGCUCAACCUGGGAACUGCAUCUGAUACUGGCAAGCUUGAGUCUCGUAGA